CUGUUUGGUAUGGUAAGAGAGAGAACUGAAUGCGUGGAAGAUAGAGGGGGAUGGUGGCAAGCAGGAGGUUGUUGGGGAACGUGUAAUGACCCUGUACACUUCUUAUGACGGCCAGCUUGCAUGGAAAGUAUUGUUGUGGUCCGCUGGAACCGGUUAGGAACGAGGAAUAAUAUCUUUUAUCUUCUUUAGAAGAGCCUGGACUGCGAAAGGCAUUUGGCGGCGAGGUUUUACAAUUAAGACGUGCAGGUGCAUUGGAACUCCUUCAUCAUUAUGCAAAUGGAAAAAUUAUUGUGUAGUAAGAAAGAUAAAUCAGUAUACAAAAGCAGACGGAGAGACUAGGUCACAUAUAAGUGAAUUAUGAUGAUAUCAUCUUCUUAAUGAUCCUUUUCUGUACAUACAUGACAAUUUCUAGUGUAAAUGAGAAGGAAUUACGACAAGGUUAUUAUUU